GCAGUACUGAUGGUGGAAGUGACUUGUUAAUGAGAGAGCUCAGAAGUGAAUAGCCAGACUGGUUUGAGCUGAUGGAAAGGCUACUUUAACUCAAAUAACCACUCUUUACAACCGUGGUGAGCAGAAAAGCAUAUGGGCUACAACAGCAGAAGACCACAUCAGGUUUCAAUCUGAGGCUUCUGUGGGCACAGACUCACUGAAACUGGACUGUUGAAGAUCAGAAAAAGACAAGGGGAAAUGGCUGGAAAUCCGGCACAGGUUGCAAAAACAAGCGCUCAAGAGUGUGUCCUGCUAUUGUGUAGGGGUCAGACAGUCAUUUAACCUGUCUGAGCUGAGCUCUGGAGGGUCACGGGGCUCCAGAUUGAGAUUCCUCCCACUGCUAAGUGCAGGCCGUGCGCAUUGCUGAUAUGGCUGUCAGAAAAUUCCAGCUGGUUGAGGACUGAAUGACCCUGAGGAUAUGAUCGCAUAAUGGUGGACAUCCAAAUAGUGCCUGAUAUGGUAAGGAGGAAAUGAACUGGCAAAUGUUCAAAUGAGGACACAGGCAAGUAAAUUAUUGACUAAACCUAUUUAAUUUCAGUUAUGGUAUAGGGAGGAACCUGCACAAUUGCCACAUUUUUUUUGGUUUGAGCCAUGGUUUACAUUAUAGACUUCAUAUUUUCCACAUAACAGCAUACAUAUUUUUGCUUUUUUAUUAGCUUUUUUUAAUCAUAUGCAAGUUUACCAGUAUUGUCAGUGAGAACUGUACUUCACUGAAACCAAAACCACAAGGAGUUCUGUGUUACAACUGUAAAGAUUUGCACAAUUGGACUAUUGCAUGGGGGAAUAUUAACAACACUCACGUACAUCAGGAAAAACUAUGUUAACUCUUCAUAGACUCGCUACGCUGUGUGAUAUAGUUUUGAUGGUGGCUUGGAAAAUAUUUUAAAGAUGUAUUGUAAUUGACUGAUGAUGCACAGCUCAUAUACCCUUUUUAUAUUCAUGAAUUUUUUUUCUGUGUCAUUUUUUGUUACAUCAUAAUAACCAUGAUUGCUAUGGUAUGGUAUAUGGUUGCAGUGAUUUAACCAUAAUUCUAUGAUAUAAGCAUCUUAAUUCUCAUCCUUAUCUGUAUGUGAGCAGGGAAGUUAGUGUAAGCAUGACUCUAUAAGAGUCUGAAACACCUCUGAAGCAAGAUGCUGUACAAUUAUUACGUGUUACAACUACGCUUCAGUUAGUGUAGAGAAAUAUCCCCAGCAAGAGAGGACGAAUCAUGCUGGACACAGAGAAGUGAUGUUCUUGUAUAUCCAUGUAAUCAGGUCGCAGUUAGAGAAAGCCAUGCUGCAACUGUGCCGGCUCUUCCCAAUGCACAUGACCAUGACAAUUUUUUAGCCAAGCAAAAUCAAUUGUUUCCGUAGUCUUUCCUAUGUGUUGUCCUAUUUGCUAUAAUAAAAGUGAUUCAUUGUUUGCCUUGUGCCUUGUAAGAUUGUUCAUAUGCAUUGCUGCAGGCUGUUGUUCAGAACACAGAAGAUGUUUGACAUCAUCAUUAAUCCCGCACACUAGAUCCAUAAGAUAGCAAAGCUGGCAUGUCAGAAAGUAGGCCUUGAUUAUCUUCUAUUUUUCUAGCUUCAUUGAACUCUGCGCUCUUAAUGACUUAUUGAUCAAACACAUAAACAUGCAUCGAUCAGUUGUUUGGGUCAGCAAUAUGUGGACUGAGCUAUGUGUAUGCAUUGAGUGAAUACAUUGUAUAGAAAAUAUAGUUACUUAUGUCUUAUCUUUAGGAAAUGCACUAUUAUGCGCUAUUACGAUGCUGUGAUAAUGAUAACUAGGUGACCAAAUGAAGUAAUAUAAAAUCCCAGCAUACAGCUGAGGGUCUAGGGUCUUGCUUAAUUACCCAGAAGCA